CCUAACACAUGCAAGUCGAACGGAGUUCUUAAGGAAUGCGGCUUCGGUCAAAUGACUUUUGAACUUAGUGGCGGACGGGUGAGUAACGCGUAGGCAACCUGCCCUCAAGAUGGGGACAACGGCCCGAAAGGACCGCUAAUACCGAAUGAUGUGCAACUACCGCAUGGUAGAUGCACCAAAGGCGGAGCAAUCCGUCACUUGAGGAUGGGCCUGCGUCUGAUUAGCUGGUUGGUGAGGUAACGGCCCACCAAGGCGACGAUCAGUAGCCGGUCUGAGAGGAUGAACGGCCACAUUGGGACUGAGACACGGCCCAGACUCCUACGGGAGGCAGCAGUGGGGAAUCUUCCGCAAUGGGCGAAAGCCUGACGGAGCAACGCCGCGUGAGUGAAGAAGGUCUUCGGAUCGUAAAGCUCUGUUGUCGGGGACGAAGGGAUGCAUCAGGAAAUGGGUGCAUUUAGACGGUACCUGACGAGGAAGCCACGGCUAACUACGUG
rnacentral:rRNA from 1 species